GUGCCAGCCGCCGCGGUAAUACAGAGGGUGCAAGCGUUAAUCGGAAUUACUGGGCGUAAAGCGCGCGUAGGUGGCUUGGUAAGUUGAAUGUGAAAUCCCCGGGCUCAACCUGGGAACUGCAUCCAAAACUGCCUGGCUAGAGUACGGUAGAGGGUGGUGGAAUUUCCUGUGUAGCGGUGAAAUGCGUAGAUAUAGGAAGGAACACCAGUGGCGAAGGCGACCACCUGGACUGAUACUGACACUGAGGUGCGAAAGCGUGGGGAGCAAACAGGAUUAGAAACCCCGGUAGUCC
rnacentral:rRNA from 1 species